GCGAAGGAGGAGAGUUUUGUUACGGCAACUCGCGGAACGUUGAACUCUAAGGCUAACUGCGAAACUAAAUCUUCAAAUCCAAUUCAUGGAUCCAAAGAUAGGCUCUUCUCGAAUGCAGCCUAACCUGACCACGUUUUGAACGGCUUGAAAUGGGUCAGGAAAAAAAAAGCCCCACGGCUGUACGCUGUACUAAAUCCUAAUCUAAGCCCAAAGCCAUGAGCGUGCACGUUUCCAAAUAGCACACCGCACUGUAGAAUAGAGUAAAGAGAUUGCAUUUAGCGCCCAAGUUUCGAAGAUACCGUUUCAUUUGAUGUUCUUUUUCUUGCUUUCCAAGUCACGAACGCCUACGCUCCUUAAUUUGAACGCUCUUCCUCACUAUUACGACGGGCGGCGAAGAGUGAGUCCAACAUAAGUUGCUCCACUCCAACGCCCACCUGUGAUAGAUGUACUGAGGAUUGAAAAAUGGACCAGACUAUGGGGCAAUUCCAGCAAAGUUUGAUUGAGCUUGAAACUGAGGCUGAGCAUCUUCUUUUAGCCAGACAUCAGUUAGUUGAAAAUGAUAAAGUGAGGAAUGGGAAUAGGGAAGCACUAACAGCUCUGAGGAAGAGGGCUAGGACAACAAGAACUAGUAUUCCAUCUCCUUUUGAGUCAAUAAUGAAAGAUAUGGGGCAUCCUGGACCGAGGCCUUUGGUGAAGGAGGUAUGCACAACCUGCGGUGACCAUGACACAAAUGAGCACACAUGGAUGAUGUUCCCUGGAACUGAUGUCUUUGCUAGAAUUCCAUUUCAUGCUGCUCAUACUAUUUUGGAGACAGAUCAAACACAACUUGAUUAUGAUGCAAAAAAGUUGCAAAGCUAUGUGAAGGAGAAAUCUUUUCAUAUCUCAGAAAAGGGUGCCCUAGCUGACAAGAUCAGUCCUGGUGUGCUCAGAUCGCUAGUAACCUUGUCAGACAAACCAAAAGCACAGCAAUAGCUUAAAAAACUCUGGCUGAAGAUGCACAGAUUUUGACUUAAGAAUCUCAGGAUGCAAGUUCCAUUUCUUUGUUAAGACGAUUGUGCUUUCAUGGUGAAGGCUUCAAAUAAUGGUGAACUAGUAUGCAUGGACAAACCGAAAUGCCCAGAAUUGCUAGCGACUUAGGGAAAUAGAUUGCAUGAUGAAUGGACAGGGGAUGAGAAGCUGGGUGGAGUGCUGUAUGCUUUUGAGAUAACAUAGUUUUACAUCUUACCCGUCUGGGUGAUGCGAUGUUGACAAGGCAGAAAGAAGACGUUAAAACGGUCUGUCUGGCCCAAUUUCCCCCUUGUAUUUAUUUCACCUUGCUGAACAAUAAUUUCUUCCCACUAAUUAUUACUCUUUCUUUCGUACUCUAAAUAAAAAUGUAGCGGCUUCCUCUCAACUCAACCGAAACUGGGCAGGCAUUUCACGGGUACCACCUCAAAUUCGACAUUCCGUACAGGAGAGUCAACGUCCAUGGCAGCCUUUCACCAAAUGCCACCAGACUUGCGCUGUACUCAUCUCCUCUCUGUUUUAUUUUGUAUUUAUUGACUCAGUCUCUCCUCUGCUUUAUUUGUUCACACAGCAAUUUACACGCUUCGCUGUAUACAAUUUCUCAUAUUCGCUGUACUUGUCUUCCACCUGUUACCAUCGAUCGGGAUUUUUGUAAACAGGGCUGUUCAAUUCAACUGGCCAUGGAUUGGAAAUUAAGUGUUGAGAGUACAUAAAUUGGAGGCCUCAUCUCAGCAACAAGAAGCCAGCCACUUGCAAUAAUUUUUCAGCAUAAUACAUCGUACGCUAAAGAUUUGAUCGUCUUACCCCCUGUCUUCUUUUUAAUUUUUUGCCCCUUGCUUUCUACUAUAAUUACACUAAUUGCCCCUCUCAUCAUUCAUUUGCUGCCCAAUUCUGAACCCAUUGGCCAUUGUGUAUUGUUUUUCACUAUACGGAGGGGUGGAUCCUCCUUCAGUGACAUGGGUGUCCUUGGAUAUUAUUGAUUAUCCUUGAAGAGGACUGAACUUAUAGAUUUGAAUUUGAGUUCAAAUUUAAAUUAAUUUUUAUU